UAUGUAGGGGGCUAGUGUUGUCCGGAAUCAUUGGGCGUAAAGAGCGUGUAGGCGGUCCGGUAAGUCCGCUGUGAAAGUCGGGGGCUCAACCCUCGAAUGCCGGUGGAUACUGUCGGGCUAGAGUGCGGAAGAGGCGAGUGGAAUUCCUGGUGUAGCGGUGAAAUGCGCAGAUAUCAGGAGGAACACCUAUUGCGAAGGCAGCUCGCUGGGACGUAACUGACGCUGAGACGCGAAAGCGUGGGGAGCAAACAGG
rnacentral:rRNA from 1 species